rnacentral:rRNA from 1 species
AUACGGAGGGUGCAAGCGUUACUCGGAAUCACUGGGCGUAAAGCGCGCGCAGGCGGCUAUUUAAGUUGGAUGUGAAAGCCUAUGGCUCAACCAUAGAACUGCACCCAAAACUAUUUAGCUAGAGUGUGGGAGAGGAAGAUGGAAUUAGUUGUGUAGGGGUAAAAUCCGUAGAGAUAACUAGGAAUACCAAAAGCGAAGGCAAUCUUCUGGAACACUACUGACGCUGAGGCGCGAAGGCGUGGGGAGCAAACAGGAUUAGAAACCCUAGUAGUCC